rnacentral:rRNA from 1 species
UAGCUAGUUGGUGAGGUAACGGCUUACCAAGGCGACGAUCUGUAGCGGGUCUGAGAGGAUGAUCCGCCACACUGGAACUGAGACACGGUCCAGACUCCUACGGGAGGCAGCAGUGGGGAAUUUUGGACAAUGGGGGCAACCCUGAUCCAGCCAUGCCGCGUGAGUGAAGAAGGCCUUCGGGUUGUAAAGCUCUUUCGGCCGGGAAGAAAUCGCAUGGGCCAAUACCCUGUGUGGAUGACGGUACCGGAAUAAGAAGCACCGGCUAACUACGUGCCAGCAGCCGCGGUAAUACGUAGGGUGCGAGCGUUAAUCGGAAUUACUGGGCGUAAAGCGUGCGCAGGCGGUUUUGUAAGACAGGCGUGAAAUCCCCGGGCUCAACCUGGGAACUGCGUUUGUGACUGCAAGGCUAGAGUACGGCAGAGGGGGGUGGAAUUCCACGUGUAGCAGUGAAAUGCGUAGAGAUGUGGAGGAACACCAAUGGCGAAGGCAGCCCCCUGGGUCGAUACUGACGCUCAUGCACGCACGUGGGUAGCAAACAGGAUUAGAUACCCUGGUAGUCCACGCCCUAAACUAUGUCAACUAGGUGUUGGGUGGGUAAAACCAUUUAGUACCGUAGCUAACGCGUGAAGUUGACCGCCUGGGGAGUACGGCCGCAAGGUUAAAACUCAAAGGAAUUGACGGGGACCCGCACAAGCGGUGGAUGAUGUGGAUUAAUUCGAUGCAACGCGAAAAACCUUACCUACCCUUGACAUGCCAGGAACUUGCCAGAGAUGGCUUGGUGCCCGAAAGGGAGCCUGGACACAGGUGCUGCAUGGCUGUCGUCAGCUCGUGUCGUGAGAUGUUGGGUUAAGUCCCGCAACGAGCGCAACCCUUGUCGUUAAUUGCCAUCAUUUAGUUGGGCACUUUAGCGAGACUGCCGGUGACAAACCGGAGGAAGGUGGGGAUGACGUCAAGUCCUCAUGGCCCUUAUGGGUAGGGCUUCACACGUCAUACAAUGGUCGGUACAGAGGGUCGCCAAGCCGCGAGGUGGAGCCAAUCCCAGAAAGCCGAUCGUAGUCCGGAUUGCAGGCUGCAACUCGCCUGCAUGAAGUCGGAAUCGCUAGUAAUCGUGGAUCAGCAUGUCACGGUGAAUACGUUCCCGGGUCUUGUACACACCGCCCGUCACACCAUGGGAGCGGGUUCCGCCAGAAGUAGGUAGCCUAACCGCAAGGAGGGCGCUUACCACGGCGGGGUUCGUGACUGGGGUGAAGUCGAAACAAGGUAGCCGUAGGGGAACCUGCGGCUG